AGAAGUAGUGUAGUAGAGGCUUGGGAAUGGAGAAAGUGAGAGCGGUGGUGAAGGAGAUCGCGUACGCAGAGAACCGCGCAAAGCUCUCACCUCUAAAACGCUGUGUGAUAAUCCCAGUCCUCUCCUUCGCUUCUGCUCUCUACACACUCGCUCUCUCCCUCCGCCACUCUCUCUACCGCUUCCGCCUCCUCCGCAGCCACCGCUUGGCGGUGCCGGUGAUAAGUGUAGGCAAUUUGACGUGGGGUGGCAAUGGGAAGACACCAAUGGUCGAGUUCAUUGCUCGCUUCUUAGCUGACUCUGGAAUCCCACCUCUCAUUCUCACUAGGGGUUAUGCUGGUGGGGAUGAAGCUAGAAUGCUUGAGAGGCAUCUCUUUGGGAGACCUGCAAAGAUCGGUGUUGGUGCAAAUCGGGCAGCUGUUGCUGCUUCUUAUUUUGAAAGAUAUGGUUACUUUGAUCCUCGUAUUAGUACAUCCAAUCAGAGUCCUUGCCUUGACCAGAAAGUGGAAAGUCAUCUUAAUUUAGAAAAAAUUGGUGCUGUAAUUCUAGAUGAUGGAAUGCAGCACUGGAGCUUGCAGCGCGAUCUAGAGAUAGUAAUGGUCAAUGGGUUAACGCUGUGGGGUAACUGCAAAUUACUCCCACUUGGACCUUUAAGGGAGCCUUUGACUGCACUGAAACGGGCAGAUGUUGCUGUCAUCCAUAAUGCAGACCUGGUUUCAGUACAAAAUCUCAAAGAGAUAGAGCAUAUGAUACAAGAAGUUAAAGAAUCUCUUCCAAUUUUCUUCACUAUAAUGACUCCCUCACACUUUUUUGAAGUGGCAAAUAUUAAUUCCAAACUACCUCUGGGAGCUUUGAGUAACACCAUCAUAGUAUGUGUGUCUGCCAUUGGUUCUGCAAAUGCUUUUGUGACUGCAAUGGAGAAGAUAGGAGCAUCUUAUGUUGAUCGACUUGACUUCAGUGACCAUCAUGUCUUUCAAGCCAGGGUACAGUUAUCUUCAUCUCUGCUGUGACUUAUGUUCUUGUCAAGUCUACCGUUAUACUUCUGUAGUUUUGCUAGAGACCGUGAUGCUUCUACCACACCUUAACUAUACUUACUGUGAUGUUGACAUGAUCAGAAGGAGACUUGAAGAACUUGAGGACAAGUUUGAUUCCAAGCCAAUUGUUGUAGUAACAGAAAAGGAUUAUGAUCGAGACUCUGAGAUUCUUAAGCACUUGCAUCCAUUUAAAGUUUUGGCACUCUGUUCUGAAUUGCAAACUAUAUCUCACAUAGGAUGCACCAAGAAUGGAUUCAAGAAGUUGUUGACAGAAGUACUAAGAGUGAAAUUACCUGGUGCAAACUAGAAGUAUGCUAUGGUAAAUUCAACUUAAGGGAGCAGCUUUGCAAGCAUGCAGUGGGACAUGAUUGGAAGAUUACAUCUUGAACUCGGAUAUCAACUGUAUUAAUACUGGAUAGCUUGUUCAUAGUUUGUAUUCCCGCAAAGUUGCAAUUGUGCUACAGGCUCAAGUUUAUAGAACUCUAGCUUGUAUGUUUCUAUAGUCAUACAAAUCCAUCUUUCUUAUUUUUUAUUGGCAAA